rnacentral:rRNA from 1 species
UGGGGAAUAUUGCACAAUGGGGGAAACCCUGAUGCAGCGACGCCGCGUGAGCGAAGAAGGCUUUCGAGUCGUAAAGCUCUGUCCUAUGAGAAGAUAAUGACGGUAUCAUAGGAGGAAGCCCUGGCUAAAUACGUGCCAGCAGCCGCGGUAAUACGUAUGGGGCGAGCGUUGUCCGGAAUUAUUGGGCGUAAAGGGUACGUAGGCGGUUUUUUAAGUCAGGUGUCAAAGCGUGGAGCUUAACUCCAUUAAGCACUUGAAACUGAAAGACUUGAGUGAAGGAGAGGAAAGUGGAAGUCCUAGUGUAGCGGUGAAAUGCGUAGAUAUUAGGAGGAAUACCGGUGGCGAAGGCGACUUUCUGGCCAUAUACUGACGCUGAGGUACGAAAGCGUGGGUAGCAAACAGG